AAUGUGAUCCGCCUUAUCGCCUUGUUCAGAAAGUAUUCUGAGCGGGGAGGAAAGUCCGGGCAAUGCAGAGCGCCGUACUUCCUAACAGGAAGGGGCAUUGUUGGCGACGACAGUGCUACAGAAAGUGCAACAGAAAAUAAACUACCCGCAAUGCUUCUGCAUUGGGGGAAAAGGUGAAAAGGUGGGGUAAGAGCCCACCGCUUCAAUGGUGACAUUGGGGGCACGGUAAACCUUACGGAUUGAAAGAUCAAAUAUGCCAUGAUUCAGGGGCUGCUCGUCUCUGUAGGCUGCUUCGGCGGUCUCGUUGUGGUGGGUAGAUUGAUAGAACCUGGUGGCGACAUCAGGUCCAGAUAAAUGAUAAGGGUCUUCCGACUUGUCGGGAGGCACAGAACCCGGCUUACAGGAUCAUAUUUUCC
rnacentral:RNase_P_RNA from 3 species